rnacentral:rRNA from 1 species
UUGGAGGGCAAGUCUGGUGCCAGCAGCCGCGGUAAUUCCAGCUCCAAUAGCGUAUAUUAAAGUUGUUGCAGUUAAAAAGCUCGUAGUUGAAUUUCGGGGUCUGUCUAUCGGUCGGGCUUCACUGUCCGUACUGGUUUGAUGGAUUCUUACCUUCUGAAUAACCAUCAUGCCAUUAAUUUGGUGCGUUGGGGAAGCAGAGCUAUUACCUUGAAAAAAUUAGAGUGCUUAAAGCAGGCUAGCGCCUGAAUAGAUUAGCAUGGAAUAAUGAAAUAGGACGGCAUGGUUCUAUUUUGUUGGUUUCUAGGAUCACCAUAAUGAUUAAUAGGGAUAGUUGGGGGCAUUAGUAUUCAAUUGUCAGAGGUGAGAUUCUUGGAUUUAUUGAAGACUAACUACUGCGAAAGCAUUUGCCAAGGAUGUUUUCAUUAAUCAAGAACGAAAGUUAGGGGAUCGAAGACGAUCAGAUGCCGUCGUAGUCUUAACCAUAAACUAUGCCGACUAGGGAUCGGACGAAGUUAAUUUUUUAAUGACUCGUUCGGCGCCUUACGGGAAAC